rnacentral:rRNA from 1 species
GAUGAACGCUGGCGGCGUGCCUAAUACAUGCAAGUCGAGCGAACGGACGAGAAGCGCGCUUCGCUGAUGUUAGCGGCGGACGGGUGAGUAACACGUGGAUAACCGACCUAUAAGACUGGGGUAACGUAGGGAGACCGGAGAUCGUACCGGAUAAUAGUUUGAAACGCAGGGUUCAAAAGAGAAAGAGGGACUUGCUGUCCCUUAUAGAUGGAACCGCGCUGCAUUAGCUAGUUGGUAAGGUAACGGCGUACCAAGGCAACGAUGCAUAGCCGACCUGAGAGGGUGAUCAGCCACACUGGAACUGAGACACGGUCCAGACUCCUACGGGAGGCAGCAGUGGGGAAUCUUCGGCAAAGGGCGAAAGCCUGACCGAGCAACGCCGCGUGAGUGAUGAAGGUCUUCGGAUCGUAAAGCUCUGUUAGUAGGGAAGAACAUAUGUGUAUUUAACUCUGCACAUCUUGACGUUACCUAAUCAGAAAGCCCCGGCUAACUACGUG